rnacentral:lncRNA from 1 species
GCCAUGUGCUUUAAACAAGUCAAUACUUUAGCUAUAUGAACUUUUGCUAGGAAACUGGUUAUAUUGUAUUGGUAUUGAUCUUAUUUUUCAGAUUCUGUUCGGCAUAUACUUAGUCCUGUGUGAGCUGCUCCGAUUUUUGAAGGCUUUUUUUUGGAUAUAAUCUUCUCGUGAUUUCUUUCUUAACCCCAUCUGAUUUUUUUAUGGAAUUAUUUUUAAAAAUGAAAAGAAAGAAGAGAUGAAGAUUUGGAGCACCAUAU